GAGCUUCCUCGCAUAUCCUAGUGAUCAAUCAAGGAAAAGGGUAUGAUCUAUCUAUUUUUGUAGCUCGAAUAUUGAUUUCAUCGGCAGUUAUCUCACAAAAAUUCAAUAGGAUCCUAGGCAUGAUACAUGCUACCAAUACUAUUCAAUCAUUACUAAUGUAUUGUCAUCUAUUGUCGGCAUCAAUGUAUAUUGUACAACUCCCC
rnacentral:lncRNA from 1 species